AUUGCAGCUGAAUUUUGUCAAACUUAGAGCAGGAUUUUGCAGCAAGAGAUAUCUCUGACAACCACUGUGCAAUCAUCUCAACGAUAAAAAUUUAGUGUAAAAUUUUGUCAAACUGAAUCUUUCUCAACAGAUUUAGUUAUUUUGCUAAAAAAUCAGUUUUGUAUCCUGCUCUGAAUAUAAAGUGUACUGCUUAUUGCAAGCAAGUUUAAAAUUUCAGUCUAAAAGUCGGUUAACUGAAUUUUGACACAAUAGUUAACUGAAUUUACUGUCAUCCCUAUCAAAUGCAGUUUAUCCGUUCGUCCUGCUUCUCACUUUCUUCUAUGUUUUCUAAGAAAAAAUUAACUUCCUUCUGUAGUUAUUCACAUGAUAUAUGUGCCAACUUCCUUUCACAAAAUCUUGCCAUCUUGACCAACAUUUUGACAGACUUACUGCUAAUCUAGAGCCACAUGAGACUUUGUUGGGUUAGUUAUUUUUCGCACCAACCAACAAUGCAUAGAAAUCUGCUAGAUUACCCAAGUCCAUAGCAAAGGAGGAAGAAAGUGAAAUGUGAGGCUGAUCAACUUAUCCAUCAGCUAGAUAACCCCAAGUGUAACUGGGUUCAGGGCCUGUACUUGCUUACCGAUGGAAAAGGACAAAUAAUUGGAUUGCUGUUUUCAACAAUGGGUGUUGAUGUUUGCAUGAUCAGUGUUAGUCCAAGGUUGUAACAAAAUUUCUCACUAUGGAGUCCUUGCUUGACGAGAGCGUUGACAAGGAGAUAAAUUUGCAGAUCGAAUGAGGUGGAACUCCUUUAACAGUAACGGUGAAGGUAGUUUGCAAGCUUGCCAUGUCUUGUUUAAUCUUCAUACCAGAGAGCAGUAUAUAUGAUCGAUUACUCCCUGUAAUAAUGCAUCUUUGACUUUGCAUAUCGAAAUGUAGGAACUAGUUAUUUUGGAAGAACUAGUUAUGUAGGAACAGUCUAUAUAAGGAUGUAUGUAGAUAUAUUUUAAAAUAUUUAUUUAUUUAUUUUGUUUCAUACGUACUCUGUAGUAAAAUCUUUAAAAGAUCUUAUAUUUAAAAACAGAGGAGGUUGAGUAUUGGUCAGAUGCUUAUAGUAGGCCUAAUUAAGUAGCUCAUUGUUUAUCACAUACAUGCAUCAACCUUUUGUUUGAGAAUCAUACGUGCAUGGAUGUUGCCCAGGUAAACCAAGACGCACGGUAGAAUCUGCCCACUGUUUAUCAUGUAUGUAAGCUGUCUCACAGCCAUCGAGCCUGGGCAAGUGCCCGGGGUGGUCGGGCGCUGGCUCCGCCACUGCCUACUUUCAUUGUUCUUUUCUGAGCCGAAUAGCUUAUGCUCUCAGAGUAUCAGGGAAAGAAUAUGUAAUUGUUUCUAUGGUAGUUGGCCUUCAUGUAUAUUUCAUACCGUAUCUCCGUAUGCCUUCUUUCUUGUGCAGUAAAUGUAAACAUAUAUGCUACAUUAUAAUAUUCUGUACCAGGUGCACGCACACUUUGCAUGCAUUUUUUACAUCAAGGUGAUUAGAAGCAGAAUAGACAAUUAUUCAGAGACGUAAAGAUUAGAAUAAAAAAAGAUUCACAUGUAUUUUAUCUGUACCUUCAUUAAGAGAAGUUGUAUGCUUUCUUAUGUUUGAUUAUUUGAAUUACCAGGAUGAUCUGAAGCACCCAGAAGAAGUAGAUGACAUGACGGGAGAAGGGAACAAGAAGCUUCGUUUAUCAUUGAUGUUAUGUUGUGAACUUGUUGGGCCUUGAACCUUUAUGUGUAGAGGAGUCGAUGAAUGAUGUAUUGUAAUUCAUGUGAUGUGUUACUGAAAUGAAAUAUAUACAACUAAUUUGCAA